GAGGCUUCCGGCGGCGGCGGCUUCGUCAGGUGGCGUUGCGGUGAGCGGCCGGCGGCGCGGCGCUGUCCUUUUUCAGUCCUCCGAGCGAGCUGCGGGUUUGGGGGCGUCGGUACGGCUGAGGAAGCGCGUGCCCGUGCGGGUGCUGACGUUGCCCGGCCCUUCUCGUACCGGCGGCGUUGGGGAUCGGUGAAAGGGCUUCUCUUGCACUUGUAAUCGGCUCCUUUGCUCCGCACGGUUGCUGCGUGCAGCAUAACGUCUGCCUUGAGAAUGGUGUUAAGACGCCGAGAACAUGAAGAUGGAGGUAAGAAUUGAGCACACGUGGGAUGGUUUACCUGUGAGCCACGACCCCGUAGCAAUUGCACUUCAGUCGUAUGAUGCAGGACUGCUAAUGCAAGUGAGUGCUCCCUUCUUCAAUGAUCCUCCAGCGCCACUUGGAGCGCCAGGGAAACCCUUCAGAAAACUGUGGGACUAUGAAGUUGUAGAAGCAUUUUUCUUGAGUGACGGAAGUGAGCAGUAUCUAGAAGUUGAACUUUGUCCUCAUGGACAACACUUACUGUUGCUGCUUUCUGGCAAAAGAAGAGUGUGGAAAGAAGAACUUCCCUUAGAAUUCCAUGUGACCAGAACGGAAACCAAAUGGAGGGGUAGAGCUCAUCUGCCUUGGAAUUAUUUUCCACCAGGCAUUAACAAGUUCAAUGCCUUUGCAAUCCAUGGCUCAGGAGAUCACAGAAAAUAUGAAGCACUUUAUCCUGUGCCUCGACACAAACUUCAGGAAGGCCAGAAACCAGACUUUCAUCGCCUGGAAUUUUUCCAAGAGUUGAAUCUGAAAGAACUAAUGGGAGAAGACUGGAAGCAGCCUGAAUCAGACAUAUGGAAGUCUCACACUAAAUAGCAAACUGGAUUGAGGCUUAUGUUUUUGCUCGCAUUAAGUUUGGAUGCAAGUGUAUGAGAACAAGUGAUGUUGAGCAGAAACUGUGGGCAUGGAAUGUUGUUUCUGCACUAGAAACUACAUUAGAACUAACGAGAUAAAUAUUUUUCUAAAUAGCUCUUUUUGGGAAGGUCUUUUUACUUCACCAGGGGUCUCUGAUAGUCUUCGCAUGCUCAGCAAUAGGUGAAGUAAUUUAUAGCCACAGAAAUUAGGUAGAUGGAGUAACAUGUAGGUACACAGACUAAAGACUGCAGCUCUAGUCUGUCCAACCAAUUCUUUGAAAGAUAUUUUUUCAACUACAGUGUCUGUUUGUUAAAGCAAGGAAAAUUGCCCCUCCUCAGUCACUGAGACACAGGUUACGAUGCUCACCUUUCAUUCUGAUAGCAGACUACUUGGUGCAGGACUUGGUGACUGCUUUGAAAUCUACAUAGUUUAAGUUCUAGAUGAAUCUUGCGAUGCAAACAAGCUGGCAGACUUGGUGCAGACAGUAAAACCGUAGGUCAGAUGAACUGAGACAAAUCUACCCUUGGAGAAGUUUAAGGUUAGCUUCAGUUCACUCACUGUUGAUGAAUUAUAAUAACGUAGAUUUUGGCACUGACAGUAACCCAUUUUUAAAGAAGAAUUAUCUGCAAUAUUAUCGAUCAUACUAAACUGUGUGUAAAUUGUAUUAAACUAUCUACUAAACCACAAUGUCUCAAUAUUGCUUUUUUCAUAAACUGUCAUUUACAUAAGUAAGCUUUCUUUCAAAAGCCCGUGUCCAGGAACCGCUCGUGUAAUUUCCAUGACAAGUUCUGAACCAAAAGUAAUGCAUCCAAAUCCUUUUUGUUUGAAAACACUGAUCAUCCAAGAAUCGGAAAUGUUAACAUGUGACCAGUAGUGCUAAGAAAGGAGCAUGUGGAGAAGCACACCAAACAGUCCAAAGGCCCAGGGGAGAUGAAAUAGCGCUACAUCUUCUAAAAAAGCAUACUAUGCUAGAGGUUUUCUGGCUUAGUCUUCCUCCAAACCUUGCCUAAAGCCAUCCGUUCUUACAGCAUAGGCAGGGCUAGAAAUAUGCCUCACUUACC